CACGAAUGAAAAGUAAUCUGAAAAGAGGGAAAGAAGGUGUAUCUCCUAAAAACUCCAACUUCUCUUUAGUCUCACACAAAGUUGACAUCAUCUCCGGUGGCCGGUGUGCAAUUCGCCACCGGUCGCCAUCCCUCUUUUGUUUUAGUUUUUUGGAUGUAUCAUAUUAUCGAUCUCUAGAUCGAAUUACUUUUCCGUUGCGGAUAAACUCUUCGCUUAGGCGACUUUUGAUGUGGUUUAAUAAAUUUCCGGUCGUUUGAUCAGAUCUUAAAUAGCAACCUUUCGCCGUGUUUCUUUUCAAUUCCAAAGAUUAACUGUUUGAAAGCUUCACUCAUCGUAUCAACUGAGCCUCUUUCUAAAAGAAUCAGUCUCUAUCUAUGUUAGCCAUUAAUAGGCGUUAAAGGUAGAGCUUCUUUGAUGGAAGAUGGUCAAGUUAGUAAGGCUUUUUGGGUCACCCUGAAAUAGAUUCAGCAGAGUUGGCGUGAAAACGGUCAGAUGAAGAAUGGCUUUCAUUCUGACCUAAGCUUCCUCCGGAGUAAUAACGGUGAGCGCAGCCUCUUCGAUCAAUUAAUCUUGGUUGGAUGCGAAAUGUAUGGAGUACAAGAAUUAAGCUAUGUGAAGAACUGCUGAGGUCAGCCGGAAGAGCUUCCCGACGGCUCACCGGUGGAGAUAGCUUCAUGCAUAUCUAGAAGCUGACACGUAGCAUUGCCUUUUAUAAAUGCUUAGGCCAUGAUUAACGGGGUAUCUUAGAAGGGGUUUUUAGUUUAAUUAUGAAUUAAAGAAAAUGAAAAAUGGCAAUUACUAUAAGCUACGUAUCUUAAUUAGGUUACACAAGAUACGUCUCUUGUAUGCCGCACGUAGUUUUGAUACGUCUCUUCCUCUUCAUCUGUCUACAAGAUCGCUUCCGGCAUCGCUACCGUACGAGUCGACUCUUCCGCGAUCGAGAGAUUCACCACUAAACCCCUCCCAAGGAAGCUCCUUUGGUCUCCCUCAAGGUCUAACCAACGAAGCGAGGCUUUGUCCUACGGUGCGGCCGGGAUGUUGAGCCGGAGUGGAAGCGAGGAUUGUGGUGGCGCGGUGGUUGAUUGGUUGCUGCAGACGGUGACAACAACACCGACAGUCUUCGAACCCAGUUGUCAUCUCUAAAUACGAAACCUUUAAGGUUUCACAGCACUGGGCAAACACACACUCCGUAGAAAAAGAUAUAAGCUUUUGUGUAUCUUUCGAGCCUCCGAAUCAUCUUUAAACGUAUGGCACCAGAUGUUAGCUUUGGAUAUGUUGAUGUCAGGAGAAAGAAAGUAGAGAUUGCAGGAUUUGUCAUCUUCCUUUCGAGAAGAUGGUUCUAAUGAAUAAGAAGAAGAAAAAAAAAAGCAAGAGAGGGUGAAGGUAAAGAUGAAGAAGAAGAGGAAGAAGAAGAAGAGCAAUUGGGUUGCCUUUAAAAUUGGAUUGCUCUUGUAAAGGUGAUUUGGAUGUAGCUCACAGUAAGUGUGCUGAAACUCGAUUCAAGAUCAAAGAAACAUGACAUGUGAGAUAUGUGGCGCAAUGGCUAAAAACGUUGCUGGCGAACAGUCAAACCAAGAGAGCAAUGCCUCUGCCCAUUCACAAACAACUGCAGGACAAACUCAGACAGAGAUACGGGGAACGUGGCAUGGUCGCUGUGUUAUGAACUUCUUACUUGCUGCUAUGAUAUUUGCCUUCAUUGUUACUUGUUUUUUAUUUAGAACUCCUAGAUAGGAGACUAUCAUUAGAGACUCAAAAUCAAGACAUCAUUUAACUAAGGUUCUUAAUUAGUUUUAA